rnacentral:misc_RNA from 1 species
UCUCCGUUGGUGAACCAGCGGAGGGAUCAUUACAGAGUUAUCUAACUCCCAAACCAUUGUGAACUUACCAUAUGUUGCCUCGGCAGAACCUACCCUGUAGCGGGCUGCCGGCGGACCUCUAAACUCUUGUUUUUAGUGUCUCUUCUGAGUUAAACAAACAAAUGAAUCAAAACUUUCAACAACGGAUCUCUUGGUUCUGGCAUCGAUGAAGAACGCAGC